rnacentral:rRNA from 1 species
CUACGGGUUGCACCAGUGAGGAAUUUUGCGCAAUGGGGGAAACCCUGACGCAGCAACGCCGCGUGAGUGAAGAAGGCUUUCGGGUCGUAAAGCUCUGUCAGAUAGGAAAAAAGUUCAUAUGUAAAUAGCUUAUGAAUCUGAUGGUACUAUCAGAGGAAGCACCGGAUAACUCCGUGCCAGCAGCCGCGGUAAUACGGAGGGGGCAAGCGUUGUUCGGAAUUACUGGGCGUAAAGGGCGUGUAGGCGGUAUGGUAAGUCAGAUGUGAAAGCCCUGGGCUUAACUCAGGAAGUGCAUUUGAUACUGCCAUCCUUGAGUAUGGGAGAGGAGAGUAGAAUUCCCAGUGUAGAGGUGAAAUUCGUAGAUAUUGGGAGGAAUACCCGUGGCGAAGGCGACUCUCUGGACCAAUACUGACGCUGAGACGCGAAAGCGUGGGGAGCAAACAGGAUUAGAUACCCGAGUAGUC